GACAGAGGCCCCAAGCGUUAGGCGGAAUCACUGGGCUUAAAGCGUGUGUAGGCGGACGCCUAAGUGUCUUGUGAAAUCCCACGGCUCACCCGUGGAGCUGCUGGGCAUACUGGGCGUCUUGGGCCAACUAGGGGCAGCCGGAACAAGCGGUGGAGCGGUGAAAUGCGUAGAUAUCGCUUGGAACGCCGAAGGUGAAAACAGGCUGCUGGGGUUGCGCCGACGCUGAGACACGAAAGCCAGGGGAGCAAACGGG
rnacentral:rRNA from 1 species